rnacentral:siRNA from 1 species
UUAGUGUCUGAUUAGUCUCUA